CACAAGUUCCUGGCGGUGUCCGAGCAUCUGGACACGCUGAGGGUCACUAAACCGACGGGCCGACAGGUCCCGAGGCUCAUCCUCACCACCCCCCCUCCCCACCCCCAGGAGGCGGAUGAGCCUAAGGUUCACCUGGGUUGCAGAGUCUCGGGGACACGACUUGCUUUCCAGGACGUGAAAUGAGCCUCAUUUCUUGGUGUUCCCGUGAGUUUUACUGAGUCCAGGACGGAUCUGAGACACCGUAGGUCACCAGCCUCUCGGUCUGUGGGGGGGGGUGGCGGAGGGUGGAGGGAGGUUCCCCAGUCGGCUCUCUGGAGACGGGGCCUUGCUGCGGUCUCUGACCACAGCAGUUUCGAGAAGCAGUGCUUCCUCUGGGUGCCCCCCAGGGAGCCCCUGCAGCACGUCAAAGAACAGCGCACCUCCCACCCAGCUGCCCAGGAAGGCGCGGCCUUGUGCAGUCAGGAACCUGGACCCCAGGAUCAGAGGAGGGUCGCCAUUUCUUGAGCACCCACCGUGUCUGUUCUAGACACUUGACAUCUUUUUUUUUUAAUCUUUUAUUUAUUUUGAGAGGGAGACAGAGCGAGAGAGCGAGCAGGGGAGGGGCCGAGAGAGGGAGAGACGGGAUCCCAAGCAGGCUCUACGCCAUUAGCGCAGACCCCCGUGUGGGGCUAGAACUCGCGAACCGUGAGAUCGUGCCCUGGGCCGAAACCAAGAGCCGGACACUUAACCGACUGAGCCCCCCCCCCCCAGGCACCCCGACAUCUAUUCUUUAAUAAUAACUUUAUCGGGGCGCCUGGGUGGGUCAGUCGGUUGCACGGCCGACUCCUGACUUCAGGUCAUGAUCUCACGGUUUGUGGGUUCGAGCCUCGCAUCGGGCUCUGGGCUAUGGAUGUGGAACCUGCUUGGGAUUCUCUCUGUCUCCCUCUGUCUCUGCCCCUCCCCUGCUCAGCCUCUCUCUCUCUCUCUCUCUCAAAAUAAAAAUAAUAAUAGUAAUCACUUUAUCGAGUCGUAUUUUCCAUGUUGUCUGAUUCACUCAUGUCGAGGAUACACCCCAACCAAUUUGUAGUAGAUCGCCCAGCCGCGCGCCUGUCACGGUGGGUGGGUUUGUAGAGCGAGUCUGUGGCGCAGAUAAGAUCCCUCACGCCCCUUCUCUGUCGCUCCUGCUUUCUUCCUGCCCCAGACAAGCACUCAUCUAUUUUCUGUCUCUAUAGAUUUGUCUUUUCCGGACAUUUCACAUAAAUCAAUUCUACGAUGUGCUGUCUCUCACGUCUGGCUUCUUCCCGGUGCAGAAUGUUUCCAAGGCACAUCGUGGCACAGCGUGGUGUCGUUCCUGCUUCUCGCUGGGGAGCCCGGCUGGCCCCCGCUCCGCCUACCCCUCCAACCAGUUGACGGUGUUUCCAGUUUUUGACUCUUGAGUAACGCUGCUAAGAACGUCUGUGUGUAGACAGUUCCACUGUGUUGUAUUUCUAACCCUCCCGAUCCUGUGUCGUGGGUAUGAUCGUCCUUGCUUUGUGGAUGAGGGCACUGACAAUGACAGAGACUCGGUGACGCAUCCACGGGCACACGGCUGCCAUAUUUUAUCCGUUCUAGGGAGUCCUUUUUUCCCCCUUAUUCUUCUGUUUCUGAAACCGGGAUGCAUCUUAUGGUCAGGGCCUUGUCAUAGCUAUCUGGCAGCUUGUCCCCCUGGGGGACGUGGCUCGUGAAAUGUUAGUAUGUUUUGCAGUCAAGGGUUUGGAAGUUUGUUGAGAUGUCGCACUAAGGGUCACGCUGAGCCAGGAUUCUUGGUGGCAAGUGACAGAAAUGCAACUUGGGGAGGAAUGCAGUAGCCCGAGAGUCGGGCAGGAGCCUGGGAACAGGUGGGGGAGGAGCUCCGGGGACUCGGCACCGUUGGGUCUCUGUCCAUCUGUCAUCUCUGCUCGGCUUUGACAACAGGCUCUCUUCCCCCGUAGGGCAGCCCCUCUUUAGAGUCCUGCGAUUAGGUCCCCUGCAAACUUCCCUCCCUGCCUUUGUGGGUGGAUCGUAGGGAAGGACUCUGAUUGGCCCUGCCUGGGCCACGUGUCCCUCUCUGGCCCAAUCACUCAGGCGUGGGGAAUGGGGUCCUCCACACCGCCCCACUCAGUGCCACUGCAGACCGCCCAGACUGAGGGGUCUUUCGAAAGACUAACCG
rnacentral:lncRNA from 1 species